GGGACACGUGGUAUCCUGUCUGAAUAUGGGGGGACCAUCCUCCAAGGCUAAAUACUCCUGACUGACCGAUAGUGAACCAGUACCGUGAGGGAAAGGCGAAAAGAACCCCGGCGAGGGGAGUGAAAAAGAACCUGAAACCGUGUACGUACAAGCAGUGGGAGCACGCUUAGGCGUGUGACUGCGUACCUUUUGUAUAAUGGGUCAGCGACUUAUAUUCUGUAGCAAGGUUAACCGAAUAGGGGAGCCGAAGGGAAACCGAGUCUUAACUGGGCGUUAAGUUGCAGGGUAUAGACCCGAAACCCGGUGAUCUAGCCAUGGGCAGGUUGAAGGUUGGGUAACACUAACUGGAGGACCGAACCGACUAAUGUUGAAAAAUUAGCGGAUGACUUGUGGCUGGGGGUGAAAGGCCAAUCAAACCGGGAGAUAGCUGGUUCUCCCCGAAAGCUAUUUAGGUAGCGCCUCGUGAAUUCAUCUCCGGGGGUAGAGCACUGUUUCGGCAAGGGGGUCAUCCCGACUUACCAACCCGAUGCAAACUGCGAAUACCGGAGAAUGUUAUCACGGGAGACACACGGCGGGUGCUAACGUCCGUCGUGAAGAGGGAAACAACCCAGACCGCCAGCUAAGGUCCCAAAGUCAUGGUUAAGUGGGAAACGAUGUGGGAAGGCCCAGACAGCCAGGAUGUUGGCUUAGAAGCAGCCAUCAUUUAAAGAAAGCGUAAUAGCUCACUGGUCGAGUCGGCCUGCGCGGAAGAUGUAACGGGGCUAAACCAUGCACCGAAGCUGCGGCAGCGACGCUUAUGCGUUGUUGGGUAGGGGAGCGUUCUGUAAGCCUGCGAAGGUGUGCUGUGAGGCAUGCUGGAGGUAUCAGAAGUGCGAAUGCUGACAUAAGUAACGAUAAAGCGGGUGAAAAGCCCGCUCGCCGGAAGACCAAGGGUUCCUGUCCAACGUUAAUCGGGGCAGGGUGAGUCGACCCCUAAGGCGAGGCCGAAAGGCGUAGUCGAUGGGAAACAGGUUAAUAUUCCUGUACUUGGUGUUACUGCGAAGGGGGGACGGAGAAGGCUAUGUUGGCCGGGCGACGGUUGUCCCGGUUUAAGCGUGUAGGCUGGUUUUCCAGGCAAAUCCGGAAAAUCAAGGCUGAGGCGUGAUGACGAGGCACUACGGUGCUGAAGCAACAAAUGCCCUGCUUCCAGGAAAAGCCUCUAAGCAUCAGGUAACAUCAAAUCGUACCCCAAACCGACACAGGUGGUCAGGUAGAGAAUACCAAGGCGCUUGAGAGAACUCGGGUGAAGGAACUAGGCAAAAUGGUGCCGUAACUUCGGGAGAAGGCACGCUGAUAUGUAGGUGAAGUCCCUCGCGGAUGGAGCUGAAAUCAGUCGAAGAUACCAGCUGGCUGCAACUGUUUAUUAAAAACACAGCACUGUGCAAACACGAAAGUGGACGUAUACGGUGUGACGCCUGCCCGGUGCCGGAAGGUUAAUUGAUGGGGUUAGCGCAAGCGAAGCUCUUGAUCGAAGCCCCGGUAAACGGCGGCCGUAACUAUAACGGUCCUAAGGUAGCGAAAUUCCUUGUCGGGUAAGUUCCGACCUGCACGAAUGGCGUAAUGAUGGCCAGGCUGUCUCCACCCGAGACUCAGUGAAAUUGAACUCGCUGUGAAGAUGCAGUGUACCCGCGGCAAGACGGAAAGACCCCGUGAACCUUUACUAUAGCUUGACACUGAACAUUGAGCCUUGAUGUGUAGGAUAGGUGGGAGGCUUUGAAGUGUGGACGCCAGUCUGCAUGGAGCCGACCUUGAAAUACCACCCUUUAAUGUUUGAUGUUCUAACGUGGACCCGUAAUCCGGGUUGCGGACAGUGUCUGGUGGGUAGUUUGACUGGGGCGGUCUCCUCCUAAAGAGUAACGGAGGAGCACGAAGGUUGGCUAAUCCUGGUCGGACAUCAGGAGGUUAGUGCAAUGGCAUAAGCCAGCUUGACUGCGAGCGUGACGGCGCGAGCAGGUGCGAAAGCAGGUCAUAGUGAUCCGGUGGUUCUGAAUGGAAGGGCCAUCGCUCAACGGAUAAAAGGUACUCCGGGGAUAACAGGCUGAUACCGCCCAAGAGUUCAUAUCGACGGCGGUGUUUGGCACCUCGAUGUCGGCUCAUCACAUCCUGGGGCUGAAGUAGGUCCCAAGGGUAUGGCUGUUCGCCAUUUAAAGUGGUACGCGAGCUGGGUUUAGAACGUCGUGAGACAGUUCGGUCCCUAUCUGCCGUGGGCGCUGGAGAACUGAGGGGGGCUGCUCCUAGUACGAGAGGACCGGAGUGGACGCAUCACUGGUGUUCGGGUUGUCAUGCCAAUGGCACUGCCCGGUAGCUAAAUGCGGAAGAGAUAAGUGCUGAAAGCAUCUAAGCACGAAACUUGCCCCGAGAUGAGUUCUCCCUGACUCCUUGAGAGUCCUGAAGGAACGUUGAAGACGACGACGUUGAUAGGCCGGGUGUGUAAGCGCAGCGAUGCGUUGAGCUAACCGGUACUAAUGAACCGUGAGGCUUAACCUUACAACGCCGAAGCUGUU
rnacentral:rRNA from 1 species